rnacentral:rRNA from 1 species
GGUUCUUUUUCGACCUCAGGUGUCAGUAUCAGUCCAGGUGGUCGCCUUCGCCACUGGUGUUCCUUCCUAUAUCUACGCAUUUCACCGCUACACAGGAAAUUCCACCACCCUCUACCAUACUCUAGCUUGCCAGUUUUGGAUGCAGUUCCCAGGUUGAGCCCGGGGAUUUCACAUCCAACUUAACAAACCACCUACGCGCGCUUUACGCCCAGUAAUUCCGAUUAACGCUUGCACCCUCUGUAUUACCGCGGCUGCUGGCACAGAGUUAGCCGGUGCUUAUUCUGUCGGUAACGUCAAAAUUGCAGAGUAUUAAUCUACAACCCUUCCUCCCAACUUAAAGUGCUUUACAAUCCGAAGACCUUCUUCACACACGCGGCAUGGCUGGAUCAGGCUUUCGCCCAUUGUCCAAUAUUCCCCACUGCUGCCUC